rnacentral:rRNA from 1 species
UAACCUGCUAAAUAGCCCGUAUUGCUUUGGCAGUACGCUGGCUUCUUAGAGGGACUAUCGGCUCAAGCCGAUGGAAGUUUGAGGCAAUAACAGGUCUGUGAUGCCCUUAGAUGUCCUGGGCCGCACGCGCGUUACACUGACAGAGCCAGCGAGUAUUUCCUUGACCGGAAGGUCCGGGUAAUCUUGUUAAACUCUGUCGUGCUGGGGAUAGAGCAUUGCAAUUAUUGCUCUUCAACGAGGAAUCCCUAGUAAGCGCAAGUCAUCAGCUUGCGUUGAUUACGUCCCUGCCCUUUGUACACACCGCCCGUCGCU